AUUGAACGCUGGCGGCAUGCCUUACACAUGCAAGUCGAACGGCAGCACGGGAGCAAUCCUGGUGGCGAGUGGCGAACGGGUGAGUAACGCAUCGGAACGUGCCCAGUCGUGGGGGAUAGCCCGGCGAAAGCCGGAUUAAUACCGCAUACGACCCAUGGGUGAAAGCGGGGGACCUUCGGGCCUCGCGCGAUUGGAGCGGCUGAUGUCAGAUUAGGUAGUUGGUGGGGUAAAGGCCUACCAAGCCGACGAUCUGUAGCUGGUCUGAGAGGACGACCAGCCACACUGGGACUGAGACACGGCCCAGACUCCUACGGGAGGCAGCAGUGGGGAAUUUUGGACAAUGGGCGCAAGCCUGAUCCAGCCAUGCCGCGUGCGGGAAGAAGGCCUUCGGGUUGUAAACCGCUUUUGUCGGGGAAGAAAUACGCCGGGCUAACAUCCUGGCGGGAUGACGGUACCCGAAGAAUAAGCACCGGCUAACUACGUGCCAGCAGCAGCCGCGGUAA
rnacentral:rRNA from 1 species